GAAAUUUGUUCAUCAACAACAAUGGCGACUUCAACCCUAAAUCCUAAUGCUCCAAUGUUUGUUCCCUUCGAGUAUCGUCAAGUGGAGGACUUCUCUGAUCACUGGUGGGAUCUCGUUCACUCUUCUCCUUGGUUCCGCCAUUACUGGCUUCGUGAAUGCUUCUCAGAUCCCGACGCUGACAACGAUUUCUCCCAUACCUACGGUUGUUCUCUUCUCCCUGACACCGAUUUCAUCAAGAAAGAGGAGAAUAAGAAGGAAUUGAUUACUUUGGGGUUGUUGGAAUGGAACAAAUCACGAGUUACAGCUGAAAUUCCAAAGUACGGAAAGAAAGUGCCAAAAAUUGUGAAUGUCAAAGUGAGCCCUAGGCAUAUUCAGCAGCCCAGAUAGAGCAAAUUACCAGUCCAAAGCAUUCGAGUCAGUUAGUAUCUAUCGUGUAAAUAGUGCGUUCAACUUUUUCUGUUCCCCUUUUAAUCGUCAAUAUCUUGUUUGAACUUUUCCUUGAACCUUUUGAGGUUCAAUUUUAGCAUCAAAACUUGUUUUCUCUUGUAAAUUGCGUUUUCAAUAAAUGCCAGAACAGAAAAAUAUGCAUUAGAUCUAAUUGUUCUGUAAUGUAGAAAUACUUGGAAAAUAUUGUUUAGUAGU
rnacentral:misc_RNA from 1 species